CCUCAUAUGCAGCAUCAGCAUCUCCUCGUUGGAAAGCAUUAGUGCCAUCUUCAAUGAUAUUAAGUAGAACAGAACAUGUUGCACUGAACAUUUUUAUUAAAUUGGAGACUGUAUUAAGUAGAACAGAACAUGUUGCACUGAACAUUGUUAUUAAAUUGGAGACUGACCUGAAGUGAGAACUCCAUCGAGUAUCCCCAGGCCUUUGUAAAGUGCCAAUUUGAUUAAGCCCUCUCCCACUCUCAAGCUCAUCAAUGGAAAUCAUG
rnacentral:lncRNA from 1 species